UACGAAGGGGGCUAGCGUUGCUCGGAAUUACUGGGCGUAAAGCGCACGUAGGCGGCUUUGCAAGUUAGAGGUGAAAGCCCAGGGCUUAACCCUGGAAUUGCCUUUAAAACUGCAUCGCUAGAAUUGUGGAGAGGUAAGUGGAAUUCCGAGUGUAGAGGUGAAAUUCGUAGAUAUUCGGAAGAACACCAGUGGCGAAGGCGACUUACUGGACACAUAUUGACGCUGAGGUGCGAAAGCGUGGGGAGCAAACAGG
rnacentral:rRNA from 1 species